rnacentral:lncRNA from 13 species
CCCAGACCAAAGGCAAUAGAAAUGGAUGCCUGGGUCACUGGUGUUGUCUUUUACUGAGAACGUAAAGGACCCACUCAAGUCUCUGAUGAAUCAAAUCCACUAUCUGAAGUAGUUUUUUAACAAGCCAUUAAGUAGACUUCAAUGAGCAUUCUGAUAUUUAUUCUGAUACUCAGUUGUCAGUGUAUAGCAGAAAUAGCAUAAGUUUAAGCAUCAGACAAAGCGAGGUCUGCAUGAAAGUUCAAAUGUUUUAUUGUUUUGUGCCCUGGAAAUGUUGGACCUCCCCGAAGGAUCGAUAUAGCAGUUCACCCAAACCCUUCACAACCAAUUACCUAGUACCUAGUGACUGUUCAGUACUGUUUACUUCCUUCUCCUUUACAGAAUGAAAUUAAUAUUUGUACAUUUUUAGCUAAGCACUUUUUUGCAAAGAUUACGAAAACCUUUCCCAGUACCAAGCUCUUUCCUCUUUGCACUGACAGCCUAGUGAUGGCUUCUCAAGUCCAGGAACUCUCAACAAGUUUCAGGUUUUCUUUUUAGAGAGUAACGUCUACUGUUUUCUUUUCUUGGCUUAGACUAAGAAAAAAAAUCAAAUCAUAGAAUAGAUAAAAAGCAUCGAUUUACCUUAAAUGCUAAUCUGUUGCCACCAGUUUCUUUGAACUGAAACUAUGGACGCUCUCUCCUGCAUCUAGGAAAACUGGUCCCUCCCAAGCCACCUUAGCCUCCUCCCUCUUACCUGUCUUCCUUAGAGGUCCUGGUUCACUCUCUUAGUAUUAAUUGGAUGGCCUGGAAUCACUGCUGCAGACUCUCAGUCUGAUUGGCUCAGCUCACUGCCAAUCUCUAUUCUGGUUCUGCCUUUUCUCAAGUUUACACUCCUGUUGCCUAGGAAAUCUCAGUGACUGUGAAAGCUCAAGCCUUUUGCACUUGGGAGAGAAGCCAGCCGGAAGUUUUGCUGCAAUGGUUGGGUUUCUAGAACAGCAUCAGAACUUGACUCCCAUGUUUUGCAAGUGGCUUAACCCACAAGAUAUCAAGCAUUUGAAACUUUUAAGAAGAAACCUAAUUCCAUCUGAGAAUGCAAAAGCAAAUACGAGGCACAAGCAUUUAAAUAUGAAGUAUUUCUUAAAAAUCACCUACCAGAGAUCAAGUUUGAUACAAUAAUUUAAGAAAAGAGACCAAAGAUAAAAAACUAACAAAAAAA